rnacentral:rRNA from 1 species
GGAGUUAGCCGGUGCUUCUUCUGUGAGUGAUGUCCUUCCUGCCGGCUAUUAACCCGCAGGCCUUCUUCCUCACUGAAAGUGCUUUACAACCCGAAGGCCUUCUUCACACACGCGGCAUGGCUGGAUCAGGGUUGCCCCCAUUGUCCAAUAUUCCCCACUGCUGCCUCCCGUAGGAGUCUGGGCCGUGUCUCAGUCCCAGUGUGGCUGAUCAUCCUCUCAGACCAGCUACGGAUCGUCGCCUUGGUGAGCCGUUACCUCACCAACCAGCUAAUCCGACAUAGGCUCAUCCGAUAGCGCGAGGCCCGAAGGUCCCCCGCUUUCCCCCGUAGGGCGUAUGCGGUAUUAGCCUGGGUUUCCCCAGGUUAUCCCCCACUACCGGGCAGAUUCCUAUGCAUUACUCACCCGUCCGCCGCUCGCCACCAGGGAGCAAGCUCCCCGUGCUGCCGCUCGACUUGCAUGUGUUAGGCCUGCCGCCAGCGUUCAAUCUGAGCCAGAAUCAAACACUGA